rnacentral:rRNA from 1 species
UACGGAGGGUGCGAGCGUUGCCCGGAAUCACUGGGCGUAAAGGGCGCGUAGGCGGCCUGAUAAGUAGGGGGUGAAAUCCUGCGGCUUAACCGCAGGGCUGCCUUCUAGACUGUCAGGCUAGAGCACAGUAGAGGCAGGUGGAAUUGCCGGUGUAGCGGUGGAAUGCGUAGAGAUCGGGAAGAACAUCAGUGGCGAAGGCGGCCUGCUGGGCUGUUGCUGACGCUGAGGCGCGACAGCGUGGGGAGCAAACAGG